UUUACUUUACGUUAUGGACUUUUUGAGCCGCUAACAGCUUGGAUGCUGCAGGAAUCACAGGCAUAAAAAAGCCAUCCAGCAAAACGCAAAUCAAAGAUCAAAAUGAACCUGUUAAAUUUGAAGGUAUGUCAACUUAUCAUUCAUCACUGAAAAAAAUUGUGAAGGAAUUGCUCAGUAAUAGUUAAUUCAUUACAAAAACAACGACAACAUACCCAGUGUAAUCCCACAAAUGGAGUCUGCGGAGGGUAGGAUGUACGCAGACCUUACUCCUACCUUUGCGUGCGGGGUAGAGAGGUUGUUUCCCAUAGACCCUCGGCUCAAAAGAAGUGUAGACAAAUCAUGGUAGAAAGGAAAAUAAC
rnacentral:lncRNA from 1 species